CACGCCCUCCGCCCUGGAUCUGAAGCUUCUCCUCGCGCCUCUCCUGCUCGGGCCCUCCCCCACACCUCCGGUUGCUGGCCUUCGACCUCAUCCCGCCGUGGAUCUCGCGGCCUGGUCUUCUUCUCUUCAGGCAGGAUGUCAACAUCAGAGAACACCACCGCCCAAACAGAGUCCGAAAGGCCGAUAGCUCUGAAGAGGAAAUCCAAUGAUGUUGGAUGGAACUAUGGGAAACUAUGUGAUGUCACAAACAAGGAGAGGGUGAAGUGUGACUUUUGUGGCCAUAUUAGCACCGGAGGAAUUAACCGUUUCAAGCUACACAUCACAGGCACCACCUCAAGUGUUCUUUCAUGUUUAAGAUCAACUCCGGAGGCUAAAGCAAUAUGCCAGAGAGCUCUUGAUGCAUAUGAUGCAUACGGGUGAGACUAUUGUGGAUCGUGGCCGUGGUACUUUGGUUUGGUAGCACUAAGCAAGUUUAAGACUUUUAUUUGUUAUGUAAUAUGCUUGCUUGUGAAGUUGUGAACUUGUGAUAUGUUC